UCACAUUGUCGUCAUGAUCCAAGAACGAUACUGCUACUAUAAGAGCAACCCUAUCAGUGAAUCGGUGAGAAGGGGUCAUACAGACAAGGGGAAACAGAACGGUACCGGUUUUCAAAGGAGAAGUAUUAGCUGCAGCCUAUUAGAGGAUGUCCUCGAAGAGGCUGAGGCUCUAGACGAUAGAAGCGGAGGCCAACCACCAAAACGGAGACAACUCACGGCCUUGUGGGUAAAACUCUUAGAUUAUCAAGUUGUCAGAAAACUUGAUUUUUGACGGAAACAUCGAUUUUGUGGGUAAAAUCGAGGAGUUGGCCUUGUGGGUAAAACUCUUAGAUUAUCAAGUAACCUAUAUAAUGUUCUUUCAUUUCUAUGUGUUAAUUUGUUGUUUCAUUAUGUCUGAUAUGUACUCUAUAUGAAUAAAUGAAAUGAAUUUUUAUUGUA